rnacentral:piRNA from 1 species
UAAGUUCAGUUAAUUUUCUGUAGUCUUA